GAGAGAAAAGGGUUAAUGUCACCUGUGGAAAGGGCUCAGGAUCAGCAAUUCUAGAGGUAGAGCCUCAGGCUGAUGAACUAUUCCUAAUGCAACGGUACCACUGUGAUUUUUGACCUCAGGCGAACCCAGCAUCCACUACUGAUGGGCACAAAACCGCACAAGAGGACUUCCUAGCAGGCACCAAGGAGAGCAGUCUUAGGCUAGGAACAGACAUUGUAUUUGUCCCAGGAUAAAUUGUGCCAGUACAAAAAUAUCUCCGGCUGGGUGCGUAUGCACAUUGCCCUUCUAAUCGUGGUUUAGCGAGCGGCUGAAUGCACUGCUACUUUUUUGCCAUUGACUCAGUGACACAAUCCUGUGGUAACUCUACAGACACACUUUGCAAUAUCCUGGGAUAAACUUUUACUAUUUCUUAUUGGGGAAACUUUUUUUUUACGAUUUAUCCCAGGACAACAGAAACAGAUGUCUGUAUGGCUGCACUUUAUCCUGGGGUAAAAUGUUUUAUCUUGGGAUAAACGUGACAUCUGUUUGCAGCCUUAUGGGCUACAGGCAAGCUUCCUUAAAGAAGCUGCACAAGACUAGCAUGGAGAAAGAAACGCUGGAAGGAGCAGUUUGGGGUCCCAUCCUGCUCUUUUUGAAAGCAAAGCCAAAGUUCCCAAGUGAACUGACUCGGACCCACUGGUGUCUGAUCCAAAAGCUUGAGCCUUCCCGUCACACCUGACUUCCAGUGGGAGUUAACCGCUGCUGGUUGCAAAGUGAAUUUGGGAAGGCUGCCCAGUGGUGAAAGCAGAGAAUGGGCAGACAGGAACUCUGGACCCCAUUGUAUAAUCUGGAGACAGCUCGCUUGACCUCCCUCUAUACCUCAGUUGACUCAUCUGUGAACUAGGAACAAUAAACUUACCCACCUCACCGAUAUACUGUGAGGCUUACUAUCUGUAAAGUUGCACCCCCGAAUGAAAGGCUAAACAGAUAUGGUAAUUAUCAUUACUGUUCCUGCUCAUGCUAACUUCUCCCUUUGAUGUCUUGUGUGCAUGAGGAAUUCCAAUACAGGUGUUAUAGCGGUAAGGGCAACGGGAAUAAAAACCUCUCGGUCAGACACAUUUCAUUUUACCCGGCUUGUGUUUUGCCAUGUUACUACUGAGUUACAUCCAAAAAUAACCCCAGAUCCUCUGAAGUGUAAAGCAAAGAACUUUGACCCGACCACUACUGCCAAGACCCAGAACUUAUCGGCUUGAUCUCUACUGAGAUCUGUUCAGCACCUACCAAGCACCAGCCGUGCCUGACAAAUUAAAUCUAGCAACAGUCCCCGGGCGCUCGCGGCUGUACGUCCAUGAACAGAAUUGCCUGCUCGUUAAUCGUGAAACUUGCCCACUGAAUCAGAAACUCCAACUCCCCUUAAUGACACCUCUCUCCUCCAGACUGCUUCCUUCUGAAGACAGCCCAAAGGGUUAAUAAGCCUGAGCUGUGGCAAACCAAGAGGAGAAAGCUGGUGAAAGUUUGCUCAGAGUCAGGGUGGGCAUUGGGACUUUGGUCCGAAAAUACCCAGCCCCUGGUGACCUUCAGAGCAUGCCGGAGUGCUCAUCUUUUUCUCCCAGGCAUUUAAAAACAGAAUGGGGGCAAUCCGGAGGGAAAGAAAUUAUGACGGUGUUCGGAGUGUGGAGUUGGCUGGUAGUGCUGCGUUGUAGUUACUGGUGGAUCCCUGGAUCCUGGAAAGAUUUAAACCCGACCUGCUCUCAGUAGUUUGACUGUGGAUCAAUAGGACUAGUCCCAAUGGAAAAGGCAGUGCAGUCACCUGUCACGAUUCUACCAACAAUAUUUGCUGGAUUUUCGCUUCAAAAUUCUCACCUCUUCUCAAUGAGAUGAGGAUCUCAGCUUUCAUCUAAGCACCAAAAAACCCCAAACUAUAUUUCUAACCCACAGGAUAGCAGAGAAAAGCUGCAAAACACAAAAUGACUGUACUCUAAUGACUCAGAAACCAGGAGAAGUGGAGAGGGGGGAGAAAGAAAUGCACAUUUAUUAUUUAUUUUGAAUCUUGCAAUAUUUCAGGGCUUGGGUUCACACAGGUAUGAAUAUUUGCAAAAUCAGGACCUAACUGCAUUGCAUUUUUGAACCACAACUAGGAGACACACAAUAUGUUAACACCCCCCACCCUUUGGGGGACUCAUACUGUUCUAAAUACCAAAUAAAAUACAGGGUAAAAACUUUUAAAUCCACUGCGCACAGAGAUGCAGAGGCUGGUUAUUAUGAAAUGUAGUUAAAUGACCUGGAUUUUGUUGCUUUUUUUUUUUUUUUUUGCACAGGCAAGGACCCCAAAUCUAAAGAAAACACUUGUAUGUUGAAAAAUCCACUUGGAACACAAACUUGGUCACAGCGCUGCUCGAAAAUAAUGAGAUAUUCUAAUGCCGCAUUUGGAAUAACCAUCCAACGACUUCUUCAAUUCAUUUGUUAUUCUGGAUCCUUCCACUUGUCAAAGGAAAACAAAACAAAACAAAAUAUCGAUUUCUUACUUUCUCUCUUGAAUGCAGUUUGAAAAACAAAACUGCUCAGAAUUAAAGUGAAAGCAACGCAGCAAAACGAGAAAAAAAAUGACAGUCAUGUGGUUAUACCAAAAACACCGUUGUCCCCUAUCCUGCAUUCUCAAAGCACUGAAGAUUUCUUCCAGGUUUAAUCAGAUUUGGGGUACACAGUGCCUGGAAUGAUGACCUCAUUAGAUCCAGCAGAUUCCAAACUGGACACCUUCCUGAAUUUCAGAGCCUUUAAUAAAUGCUGCCUAAUUAUAUUGGUGACUUUUUCAAUGAGAGCACUUUAAAGAAGCCCUCUCCUCCAUACUGACUCCCUUCUAGGGCACCUCUCCUUGCAUUGUGUGUUACACGUGCCUGCGUUUGUACACAGAACAUAGAUUAUUUCAGUUUGAUGCAGAAUCUGACUGGUCACAGCUCAAGAUCCAAUUGCACUAUACAGACAACAACAAAAAGACAUCCUCUGUCUCCGGGACGUGUCAUGCCCCUUUGGCCAAGCACUCCUGACCAAGCUUCUGUGCCCACAUACAACAACCUAGGAUAAUGGGUUUGGUACAGACAACUCUAAGAGGGGUUUAUAAACCACGUCAAAUGAAAGUAAUUUCAACGUGACGGUCCAAGUCUAUUUCAACAAAGCGGAGAAGGGAAGAUCCUGAAAUGCAGAAGAGGUGAGAGCGACCGCAGAAAAGCAGUCAUAAGAAGUGGCACGAACAUGGCACCCUGGUCAUUUGUCACUGCACUGAAUGCUAACGAUCACCUCGGCUCAGUGGAUUUUUCAGAUCACGCUGCUUGUACCGUUUCAUGCCACGUCCUCAACCCCGCAAAGACGUAAGCGUCCGAGUAACUCGGACUUCAAAGGGAGCGCACACGUGAAUCGUUCCUUGCAUGCUGCAGAAUCGGCCCCUUAAUCGUAGCGAACAGUGCUGGAUCAGGGGUUGUGCAGAGUUCCCCAACCAGACAGACGGUCUGGGGAGCCUUGCAUUCAUUUUACAGCAAACAGAGCUGCCCUGUUCCAAACACAAAUCAUUUUAGAGGCGUCUUAUUUGCAGGGGGAGCCAAUGAGAUCAGUGGGACUACUCAUGUGAGUAAAGGAGGCCGUUCUUGAGCAACGGCUAUUCUUUUUCCAGCCUCCUCUCCUUCCCCUGCAUGGGCCUUUCUACUGUUCUUAUCACCUUUGCAUCUCAAGUGAAAUCCUAUUUCACAGGAAUAGCUGCUUGAAUGAAGAUCAUUAACUGGCUCCUACUAUGUCCACAAUGCUUCCCUUUUACACCCUAGCGAAUGAGCUUACCAGCGUAUUUAUGGACCUAUGCGAAUAUUACAGCCUGUUCGAAGUUUUGAACACAAACACUGCCGGGUCCCGAUUCUAACGCUAGUGCUUGUCCAAUCAGCGAAGACAAACAAUGCCACAUGACCUGCCUGCAGUCCACACUAACCACAAUCAGCUCUUAAAUUUUGGACACCCUCUUUGUAAUGUUCGGGGGGGGGAGCCGAGAGGGGAACGAUCUACAGAGCAAAGCUCCUUGGUACGAAGCUAAGAUAGCCCAGUUUGAAUAAAGCAGAGCCGAGAAAAAAGCACUCAUUCACAGAACAAAACUCGUCUAAUCCAUUUUACCCCACCAAUAAUCAGCACAGUUCCCCCUGGCCCCCGUGCUAGGGCUACAACUCCCAGCUGUGGGGAAGCUGAACCCUGAGAGGCUCCUCGGAGCCGGAAUCUGUCCGCACUGGUGGUCCCCAAGUUAUUCUUGGUUCGGGGUCCCUUUGAAGUGGAGGAGAGAGCCAGGCCUCUCGCCCCCUGACCAAGGUGAACUAACAACAGUCUGUGCCGGCUGCAAGGCCAGAAUAAUAAAACCAAUUAUUCCCAUUCUUCAAGGGGCCUCCCGGUACACUGAGAUCCAGAAAUGCUGUGAAUUGCUGUAGUUACAGCCCUUAUUCUUGAGCUGCCCGGUUGUGGCUGGAAACUGAGAGCCUGUCUCACAAGACUUGCCUUCUGCCUUCCUCCGGCAAAAGCAAUCAUUUCACCCCACAUACGGCCAGAUGCUUUCAAUAUGAAAGUCCUCAUCACCUUAAGACGAGGGCUCUCUGGACAGAAACGCGGAGAGCAUUCAUUAUCUACUGUAAAGGGCAGGGACAGCUCUGAAGUUUCACGGCUUUCAUGACUUAGGGAUGGGGAUGAAGAAGGCAAAAACUGCUCACAACUUCACCUCAAUUUUCCACCCAGAGAUCUCCGAUAAGGCAGUAGGCAUUAAUAUCCCCAUUUUAUACAGAGGAAACAGAGGGACCAGGAAGUACCAUGCAGAAGAGCAAUGGCAGAACUGGGAAUAGAGCUGAGAUCUCCAGUGUGACAGGCCAGUGCUCUAAAAACACAGUCCUUGCUGUCCUUAUUUCCUUAAUGGAGUUUUCUAUUAGGAAGGGGUUAACUAGAGCCAGGAUAGAGAGCAUCAGGGUUAAAUCUGCAGUGAGAAACGGCAAAAUAUUUCCAAAGAAUGGUACAUUCAACACAAAAAAAAAAAAGAAGAAAUUCAAGAAAGGGAAUAAAAACAGUUUGCAAAUUCACAUCAAAUUUGGCAAAUAUUUACAAUCCCAAAUAGAGGAAACAUUAAGAGGUCACCAGCUUUCAUUUUGGACAUUUUCAUAACAAAAUGCUUCAUCUUGGAAGCAUUGUCAACACUUUUAAACUGAAUACGGUUCAACGUUUCCUUAGAAAAUGGCAAUUCCCAUUGAACAAAACGACUUUCAAGGGGGGGAAAAAAGGUACUGAACCAAGUUACUUGAAUCCA